rnacentral:tRNA from 3 species
CUCCCCGUCGUUCAACGGAUAGGACACUUCCCUGCGAAGGAAGAAAUGCUGGUUCAAUUCCAACCGGGGAGA